GAUGAACGCUGGCGGCGUGCCUAAUACAUGCAAGUCGAGCGAACAGAUGAGGAGCUUGCUCCUCUGACGUUAGCGGCGGACGGGUGAGUAACACGUGGAUAACCUACCUAUAAGACUGGGAUAACUUCGGGAAACCGGAGCUAAUACCGGAUAAUAUAUUGAACCGCAUGGUUCAAUAGAGAAAGACGGUUUUGCUGUCACUUAUAGAUGGAUCCGCGCCGCAUUAGCUAGUUGGUAAGGUAACGGCUUACCAAGGCAACGAUGCGUAGCCGACCUGAGAGGGUGAUCGGCCACACUGGAACUGAGACACGGUCCAGACUCCUACGGGAGGCAGCAGUAGGGAAUCUUCCGCAAUGGGCGAAAGCCUGACGGAGCAACGCCGCGUGAGUGAUGAAGGUCUUCGGAUCGUAAAACUCUGUUAUUAGGGAAGAACAAAUGUGUAAGUAACUAUGCACGUCUUGACGGUACCUAAUCAGAAAGCCACGGCUAACUACGUG
rnacentral:rRNA from 1 species